CAGCCGCCGCGGGAAUACGUAGGGUGCAAGCGUUAAUCGGAAUUACUGGGCGUAAAGCGUGCGCAGGCGGUUCUAUAAGACAGAUGUGAAAUCCCCGGGCUCAACCUGGGAACUGCAUUUGUGACUGUAGAGCUGGAGUGCGGCAGAGGGGGAUGGAAUUCCGCGUGUAGCAGUGAAAUGCGUAGAUAUGCGGAGGAACACCGAUGGCGAAGGCAAUCCCCUGGGCCUGCACUGACGCUCAUGCACGAAAGCGUGGGGAGCAAACAGGAUUAGAUACCCGCGUAGUCCCUGUCUCUUAUAC
rnacentral:rRNA from 1 species